UACGUAGGGUCCGAGCGUUGUCCGGAAUUAUUGGGCGUAAAGAGCUCGUAGGCGGUUUGUCGCGUCGGCCGUGAAAACUUGGGGCUUAACCCCAAGCCUGCGGUCGAUACGGGCAGACUUGAGUUCGGCAGGGGAGACUGGAAUUCCUGGUGUAGCGGUGAAAUGCGUAGAUAUCAGGAGGAAUACCGAUGGCGAAGGCAGGUCUCUGGGCUGACACUGACGCUCAUGCACGAAAGCGUGGGGAGCAAACAGG
rnacentral:rRNA from 1 species